UCCAUUCAGUUGGUGCGUGUUGGCUGUGAGCUGUUGAGCCCAAACACACCAGAGCGAUAAUGUCAAAACAACGUUAAACGGCCACCGCAGCUCGUCUAGCACAGUUCAAUGCAUACUUAUUAUUCCAUUCUCUGUGAGUUCACCAUUGCAGGUCUCCCAACUUCAACCAUACCUUGAUAUGCAGGUGUUAUAAAGAGCGCUGACUAAAUGGCCUACCGUUGGAGGCGGACUUCUUCCCCUUGCGGGCCAGGGUGAGCUGGACCUGUUGCUGGACCCGGACGCUCCGGUCGACGGAGUGGAACCUGGCCGGGCUCAGGAUGCUGUGCUCGGCAGGCAGGGCCAGACUGCUGUCGUCCAGGACCUGAGGGGGGAGAACGGACUUGAAACAACCCUCGUCCCCCAUCUCGGAUCCUUCCGGUGUCGGUCAACGACGGCUGGUCGUCUCCCCCUGUUUUGAGGGCAUAACUUCUCCGGGCGUCACCCGGUGUCAUUUUACCCGAGGCUCUGUUAAAGCGAGACGCCCCGUUCCGCGGGUUCAGACGGCUUCCUUCCUCCUUCACAGGUCUGUCAUGUUAUCCCCCCUCCACCGCCAUGACAUCAUGGAGGACUCUGAGUCCAUCUACUCCCCCUGCUGGUUGGUGGUCACACUGCAGCUCAAUUA
ensembl:lncRNA